CAGACAGUGGUUUAGUGGUAAAAUUACCCCUUGCCAAUUUAUCAACAUGGGGUAGCCCCGGGUUCAAUUCCCGGCUGUCUGA